GGGGAAUAUUGCACAAUGGAGGAAACUCUGAUGCAGCAACGCCGCGUGGAGGAUGACGCAUUUCGGUGUGUAAACUCCUUUUAUGAGUCAAGAAAAUGACGGUAGCUCAUGAAUAAGCACCGGCUAACUCCGUGCCAGCAGCCGCGGUAAUACGGAGGGUGCAAGCGUUAUUCGGAAUCACUGGGCGUAAAGGACGCGUAGGCGGGAUGCCAAGUCUGAUGUGAAAUCCUAUGGCUUAACCAUAGAACUGCAUUGGAAACUGGCAACCUAGAGUAUGGGAGGGGGAGAUGGAAUUAGUGGUGUAGGGGUAAAAUCCGUAGAUAUCACUAGGAAUACCGAAAGCGAAGGCGAUCUCCUGGAACAUAACUGACGCUAAGGCGUGAAAGCGUGGGGAGCAAACG
rnacentral:rRNA from 1 species